rnacentral:SRP_RNA from 1 species
GUCCGGGACCUGUGCAAUCUCAGGGCGGCGAACCGCGUCAGGGCCGGAAGGCAGCAGCGCUCAGUCGUUACCGUGAUGUGUGCAGCCAUUCCGGGCCGC